rnacentral:rRNA from 1 species
UACGUAGGGUGCAAGCGUUAAUCGGAAUUACUGGGCGUAAAGCGUGCGCAGGCGGUUUUGUAAGUUUGGCGUGAAAUCCCCGGGCUCAACCUGGGAAUGGCGAUGAAGACUGCAAGGCUAGAAUCUGGCAGAGGGGGGUAGAAUUCCACGUGUAGCAGUGAAAUGCGUAGAGAUGUGGAGGAACACCGAUGGCGAAGGCAGCCCCCUGGGUCAAGAUUGACGCUCAUGCACGAAAGCGUGGGGAGCAAACAGG